CAUUCUUAACCUAUUAUUAACACACUGCUCCCUUACUCUCAAAUGCAGUCGUCGCCCAUUUUUCUCGAUCUACUCUCUCUUCUCCAUUACUCAUCAUCUUCUUCUUCUCACCUUCUCUCAGACCUCAUCUAUUUUUCGGGGUAAAGCAGACCUCUCUCUCUCUCUCUCUCUCUCUCUCUCUCUCUCUCUCUCUCUCUCUCUCUCUCAGUCACUGAAAUACACAAGAAAUGCAAGACUAAGAUGAAAGUAUUUUGGUGGAGCUUUUUGAAAUGGGAAGAUGAAGAUGUUAGAGAACUUGGAGGAAGAAAGCAGAUCUGGAGAUUGGACGAUGAUAUUGUCAGUACUCAGGAGGGACUUUGUUGCAAAUUAAGUGGGCUGUACUGCAAAUCAAUAAAAUACGGAGAUACUCAGAGUUGUACAAAAUAAUUAUUGUAACAAAAUUUAUUUGUUUUUGGUAUCUGAGUUUAUUUUCAUUUUUUUAUUUUUAUUUUUAAAAAGAUUGCCUUUUAGCCACGUUUAGAGAAAUUUGUGUUCAUAUUGAAUAAAAAAGUAUUAUUUUCGUA